AACUCUCAGCUGCUGUGUACAAUACUGUAUACAGCAGCUAAAAUUAAAAACCUCCAUCAGAAAGUGUGUGUUCCCUAAUGAACACACACUUUCUGAUGUUCUGUUACCUACCAGCUGAAACCCCCCUUUUCUCCACCCAACUUUACACCACUCUCUUAGCAUGGGUGGCUGUAAGUACACUAGAGCAAACCUAAGUUUCCUUUUCUUUGGGUAGGUUUUUAUUUUUUAUUAUUAUUUUUUUUUUCAGUUGUCCCCGCCAUCUUUAACCUGACCCCCAUUAGUACUAUCCUGACUAGCUCACUGUAAACUGAAAAAAAUUAUCAAACUGUCAACCAAAAGUAAACACAUCACCUGUAGGUACAGUAGAGUAAAGCUAAGUUUCCUUUUGUUUGGGUAUUUUUUUUUUUUCUUCUUCAGUUGUCUCUGCCAUUUUUGACCUGACCAUUAGUGCUGUCCUGACUAGCUCACUUAUGAGCAGAAAAAAAUUAUCAAACCGUCAACCAGAAGUAAACACAUCACUUUGGACCACUCAAAGACACAGUCUACCUGCUGUUUAACCCAGUCUUUGGUCAGAGGUGAAGAAGAGAUGACAUCCUCCACACCAUCCCCCUGCUGCUCUCAACAACCAUCAUCGCUGUGCUGGACAGAUUGCAGCACCCACCAGGACCCUUCUCUCAUGGACUACACAAACAUGUGUUUUACCUGCUCAUGCUCCAGAUGUCCUGAAGCAGCUCUCAAGGACCACCAGACACCAGGCUGAAGCAGAACUGAUGCUGUAGCACCUGUCACUCACUGGGCUCGUUCCUGCUGAACCUCCAAGAGAUAAACCCCUCUUCAAGAACGUCUGAGGUAAUGUCUUAGUGAACUUGUGUUCAUUUAUUUUUUCUUAGUUAUCUUAGCUGCUGUAUUAAUGCUUGUGAUGCUAUUGUACAGCUCUGCUGAUAUCAUCGUCUUUAACAGCAGUGUUUCUCCCAGGUCUUCUUCAAGCCAGUUAAGACAGGAAGAACAGCUUAGACACUCAGGCAGCUGAACGCACCAAAGGUGGACAUCAUGCAGCCACCCUACUACAUUCUCCUACUUCAAGUCACUGUCUGUUCAUCCACGGUGUAGCAAGUGCAGCUAACUAAUGGUGAUCCUACAAGUCCUGCAGUCCUGUGAAGCAAGCUGCAGCAGAUGUCAUCACAUUCAGAUCAUCAGUUCAUCUUUACUGCAGCUUUAAACUUUCCCUGACUCCAGUGAUGCUGUCAACUCGAACACUGAUAACUGCACACAGCGAUUCUACAACCACAGGUCAAAGGUCAAAACAUUACCUCACUCUAAACCUUCACUCUGAACUGUAGCGGGCUCUGCUUUUGGUUUUGAACAAAAGUGCCCAGACAGAACACAGUACUCACUUGAAGAACUGACUGAUUUUCUUCAGGACAGGACAACUAUUACUCUUAUAUUGUUUUGAAUCCUGUUUUCUACAUUCAGUGAUCGGUUGUCGAUAUCUGUUAAUAUUUUAAGUUUCCUUUAUGUUUCUUGGACUUUAUUUGUUCUAUUUUAUUUUAGUAUUUUCUUUCCCUUUUACUGUGUAUCUGUCCUUAUAUCAAAAGAUGACCAACACUGAUGAAGGGAAAUAAUACCAGUUACUUCAGUUGUUGCAGGCAGCUGAAUUUCUCAUUUUAAUAUGCUCACCAUAUCCCUCAAAUUUACCUACAAGAGAAGACGUGUUUUAGAAAUUAAUGAUGUACUUUGGGUUUCAGCUGGUAGGUACACUGCAGGUUUUUCACGUGUGCUUAGUCUUGGGCUAAUGUUUUGGACAGCAGUGAUCCCAGCAUUACAGUGUGAAACAAUCCCUGCUGAAGGUUGCCGUCACAAUCCUCAAACACAGGGCUCGUUUACGAGCUGUGUGAAGGGAUUUCAUAGAGGAACAAAGUUUUUAUGCUUAUCCUUAAAAUGUAUUUCUCCAUAGUAGAAAACUUUUAAAAAAGAAACUAUCAUCGUGAAGACAACCCAGCAUUUCAGUACGACAAGUAGUGUGAAUGUUUGGAUAAGAAAACACUGGGAUCUAAAAUGCUGACCAGAUUGUCAGUCCACUACAAUGAGCUGAUGACAGUAUUAGCCUUGGUCUAACUACUGUGAAAAGCCUUUUGGGUGGUAAGGUGGACCAAUACAUGCUAUAAAAAAUACCUUAGUGCCAUAUUUAAGUUAUUAACCUUUCAUCUUACUUUGCCUGUA